UCUCUGUGCACCAGAGAAAAGAUCUCAUUAACAACGUAGAUCUGUGUGUCCUUAGCACUGAGGCCCCUUGCUUGCAGCUGGAGGCAGCUCUUUGCUCAGCCCGCAGUGCAGAGUGACACAAACAGGCGACAUCGUCACUGAGCACGAACUUCUAUUACAUCCAGGCAGACUGUGAGAACCAUUUCAGAACCGCAGCAAGACACGAGGAAGCAAAGAUUUGGCUGAGGUCAUGAAAACUCAGCGGCAAGUACUCUCACAUUGUACUGAGAGGGGCUUUCUCAAGUUAAGUAAGUUUUAUGAAGACAGAGCUGAAAUCAGCUUUGCAGCCUCCAACUCAAGUAAGCUGCAACCUCAGACUUCAGCCAGAGGCUUCCCAUCAUGACUGGAGACAACUGAAGGUGAGGCAGAAGCUCUAACAUUCAACCAAGCUCCAAGUUUCAACUAUCGUAUAGGACUGGAUAUUUAGUUACUGAAUUAAGUGUGCAUUAUGAUUCAAUGUGACUCAAUAACUUUGAGUUUCAGAGAGAGAGAUCAGAAAAAUGAUAGAUUUUACUCCAGGAAAGGGAAAGACUAGCCCCACAGAGUGGUGGUUUGGGAUGGAAGUAGUUGCUUUCUAAUUGUAUCCUAUGAGUGUCAUGUCUUCACUGGGUGCUUACAUAUUUAUAGAUCAAUUUCCUUGCUGUGCUAUCCAAAUAUCCUCUAUCAGAGGUGGGCAAACUACAGUCACAAGUCAAAUCUUGUCUGUCAAAUUACCUGUAGUUAUGAAGGGAAGGAGAACAUGCCACCCCACAAAAUGACUGCAGGAGUUCAGGACAUGACACCCUAAAAUAACCAAUUUGAUAUAUUGAUUAUUUUGAACUGUAGGCACUUGAAAAACAUUAAAUGCAGGGAGAUGAUUUCUCAAAACUCCCCUUAUCUGCCUAAAGAUAAAUCCUCUAAAAAACUCAAUUGCCACAGAUACCUUCCCCAGAAGUUUCAUCAACAAGGGAAGAUUGCUUUUAUCCCAGGAGAGGAGACUACCACACUCACACAAGCUUUGUCAAAAAUUACCAUAACUCUCAUCCAUUUGUCUAAGGACCCAUUCAUCUUUCUUAAAAAUAACUUACUCCCACCUACAUUAUCUAUAUCUAUCUCUUCCUUCCCAAUUAAGAUAGCAUUUAAUCCUGAAUUCCAGCCACCUGUGAAAAUGACUCACUUCCCCUGGGUAUCUCCCAUGUAUAUAUGUGUAUGAGGUACACAUGCUAAUAAACUUCUGCUUGUUUUUCUCUUAUUAAUCUGUAUUUUAUUAAAGGGGGUUUCAGGCAAGAACUCAGAAGGGUAGAGGCAAAACUGUUUUUGCUCUCCUACAAUUAUAAAUAAAGUUUUAUUAAAACAGCUACACUCAUUCAUUUAUGGAUUAGUUUUGGCUGCUUUCACAUUACAACAGCAGAGUUGAGUUGUGUGACAGAGACUACCUGGCCUUCAAGUCUAAAACAUUUGCUAUCUGGCCCUUUGCAGAAAAUGUUUGCUACCCUUGAUUCUUAUAUUUCUCAAUUUUUUGUCCCCUAAUUACUUGAUUUCUCCCAUUAUGAGUGUGAAACGGUCCAUUUCCCCUGAUGUUUGCACCAGUUUUUACUUUAAAAAUUUCCAAAGCCGUGUGGCAAAUUUCAUGACUGUUAUAUCAUUUACAAGCUUAUAACUUUAUUGGCAUCCAAUAUAUCUCUUUAUCCCCUUCAAAGACCUUUACCUUGAAUUUUCUUUUGUCCAAUCUCAACAUUGGUAUAACUACUUUCUUUGAGUUAGUGUUUGCCUAGUACUUAAUUAGCAUGAACUAAUUUUUAGUUUACUACAUUAAUUUCUACAUUCUUAUGUUUUAAAACAAACCAUACGAUUAAUUACCUUUUAUAAAACCUAUGACUUAGAGAAUUUAUCCAUUUAUUUUUUGUGAAUUAUGUUGCCUGAAUUUUUCCUUGCCAUAUUAUUUUUUAUAUCACCUGGACUCUUCUGCUCUGUUGCUGUGUUUUCCUUAUCUUUUAAUUUGAUCCAUCAAGAUUACUUGUUAUUUUUUUUUCUAUUUGUGGGAUGAAGUUGUAAAUCCUAUUUCUCUCUAUCUAAUGUAUAUCUUUAAAAUCUUAACAUACAUAUUUCAACUCAUUUUUCUGAUGUUAUUCAGAUUUAGCCAUAUCCAUUAUUUUCUACCAUAAGAUGAGAACCUUGUCUUCCUUUCUUUCUUCAUCCUCCUCACUUGUCACUACUAAAUGUGAUGAUAAUUUGAAGUUUUAUGAGUAAUAUUAUGAGACUAUUAUUUUAAAUGGUAUCAAAUUAUUUAGAUUCAAAUAUCCAUUUUUAUGACAUUAUUAUUCUCUAUUUUUUUCCAACAUUUUUCUUUUUUAGGGCUGUUACUUGAUUUUCUAAUGCAUAUUCUCAAUUUUUUUCAGAGUGUUCAUGGUGCUAAACUUUAUCAGUCUCUGCAUGUUUGAAAAACGUUUAUAUUGAUCUUUUACUUUAAUGUUUUCACAUCUCAAUCAUGUUCCUUCAAGCCAGCUAACACCCCUGUAAAUAGCCCACUAAACUCUUAUCAAUAGAAAUGUAGAGUGUGCUGAGUAUUUUCUGCCAGGAUCCUGAAUGUAACAGAUUUUAUGUCUUGAAAACCAAAGGGAUUUGUUGGGAGCUGUCUCAGAGUACUGAGACUCCAGGUUGACUGCAGGUGGAGAAUGGCAGGUGGCUAAAGACCCCCAAGUUCUGUGUGCUGAGAAAAGGACUGCAAAGCUGUUUGUUAGCUGACAGCAAAAAGGAAACUGCUAAAAUCAGUAACCCAACAAUGUCCAGCUCAUCUCCUGUGCUUUGGAAAAGCAGAAGCUUCUAAACCACAACCACCAUACCCUCAGAUGUUACUGUGUAUGGACUUAUGAACUUUGAGACUUCCUACCAUGAACUUAUGAACUCUUGGGACUUUUCCAUCAUGGACUUGCUGACAGUUGCUAUUUGCAUUAAGUUUCACUUUACUUAAAAUAUAUUGUUAGUUUAUGCUGUGUGAUCACGUAACCUGUUGCCAAGACAUUAUCUCACCUCCAAACUCCUAAGUCAGGAACAUUGGUUCCUCCUUCCCCAAAACCCCCCUAA